rnacentral:rRNA from 1 species
GAGUUUGAUCCUGGCUCAGAACGAACGCUGGCGGCAGGCCUAACACAUGCAAGUCGAACGAUAAACCACCUUCGGGUGGUGGAAGAGUGGCGCACGGGUGAGUAACCCGGCGGGACCUACCAUUUUGUGGGGGAUAACUAUUGGAAACGAUAGCUAAUACCGCAUACGCCCUUAGGGGGAAAGAUUUAUCGCAGAAUGAUGGACCCGCGUCUGAUUAGCUAGUUGGUGAGGUAAGAGCUCACCAAGGCGACGAUCAGUAGCUGGUUUGAGAGGAUGAUCAGCCACACUGGAACUGAGACACGGUCCAGACUCCUACGGGAGGCAGCAGUGGGGAAUAUUGCACAAUGGACGAAAGUCUGAUGCAGCCAUGCCGCGUGAGUGAAGAAGGCCCUAGGGUUGUAAAACUCUUUCAGAUGUGAAGAUGAUGACGGUAACAUCAGAAGAAGCACCGGCUAACUCCGUGCCAGCAGCCGCGGUAAUACGGAGGGUGCUAGCGUUGUUCGGAUUUACUGGGCGUAAAGGGCGCGUAGGCGGAUGUAUCAGUCAGAGGUGAAAGCCCCGGGCUUAACCUGGGAAUUGCCUUUGAUACUGUACAUCUAGAGUCCGAGAGAGGGUGGUGGAACUCCAAGUGUAGAGGUGAAAUUCGUAGAUAUUUGGAAGAACACCAGUGGCGAAGGCGGCCACCUGGCUCGGUACUGACGCUGAGGCGCGAAAGCGUGGGGAGCAAACAGGAUUAGAUACCCUGGUAGUCCACGCCGUAAACGAUGUGUGCUAGUUGUCAGGCAGCUUGCUGUUUGGUGACGAGCUAACGCAUUAAGCAUUCCGCCUGGGGAGUACGGUCGCAAGACUAAAACUCAAAGAAAUUGACGGGGGCCCGCACAAGCGGUGGAGCAUGUGGUUUAAUUCGAAGCAACGCGCAGAACCUUACCAGCUCUUGACAUCCCGAUCGCGGUUACCGGAGACGUUUCCUUCAGCUAGGCUGGAUCGGUGACAGGUGCUGCAUGGCUGUCGUCAGCUCGUGUCGUGAGAUAUUGGGUUAAGUCCCGCAACGAGCGCAACCCUCGCCUUUAGUUGCCAGCAUUUAGUUGGGCACUCUAAUGGGACUGCCGGUGUUAAGCCGGAGGAGGGUGGGGAUGACGUCAAGUCCUCAUGGCCCUUAUGCCCAGGGCUACACACGUACUACAAUGGCCAGUACAAAGGGCAGCCAACUCGCGAGAGUGAGCUAAUCCCAAAAAGCUGGUCCCAGUUCGGAUUGGAGUCUGCAACUCGACUCCAUGAAGUUGGAAUCGCUAGUAAUCGCGAAUCAGCAUGUCGCGGUGAAUACGUUCUCGGGCCUUGUACACACCGCCCGUCACACCACGAAAGUCAGUUAUACUAGAUGUCGUUGGGCCAACCAGCAAUGGAGGCAGACGCCGACGGUAUAACUGGUGAUUGGGGUGAAGUCGUAACAAGGUA